rnacentral:rRNA from 1 species
GACGAACGCUGGCGGCGUGCUUAACACAUGCAAGUCGAACGGAAAGGCCCUGCUUUUGUGGGGUGCUCGAGUGGCGAACGGGUGAGUAACACGUGAGUAACCUGCCCUUGACUUUGGGAUAACUUCAGGAAACUGGGGCUAAUACCGGAUAGGAGCUCCUGCUGCAUGGUGAGGGUUGGAUAGUUUCGGCGGUUGGGGAUGGACUCGCGGCUUAUCAGCUUGUUGGUGGGGUAGUGGCUUACCAAGGCUUUGACGGGUAGCCGGCCUGAGAGGGUGACCGGCCACAUUGGGACUGAGAUAGGGCCCAGACUCCUACGGGAGGCAGCAGUGGGGAAUAUUGCACAAUGGGCGGAAGCCUGAUGCAGCAACGCCGCGGGCGGGAUGACGGCCUUCGGGUUGUAAACCGCUUUCGCCUGUGACGAAGCGUGAGUGACGGUAAUGGGUAGAGAAGCACCGGCUAACUACGUG